rnacentral:lncRNA from 1 species
GGAAAUAUAAAACGCAAAAUCUCUUUUUUUUUUGGAUUUUUGAGUUAUAACAACUUUUCCAAAUACAAAAUAGAAAGUACAAUAACAAAAGACUCGACAUUACUGUACAAACUAGAAGGUAAAAGAUGACAUAAAUAUUACAACAGACUCAUAAAAGAAAUCUCCUUAAGCAAACUCCUGAAUGAGCGUCUCUGACUGGAUGGUCCUAGGGUGUUUGUCAUGCCCAAACUCCGGAAAGUAGAUUCACACCUGUAUGAGAAAAUUAAGACCAAAUAAAGUUAAAGACCUAGAACACUAUGUGAGACAAUAACACUUCUUGUUGGACAAUAUGCAAGACAUGAUUGAGGCUAUUUUUGCAAAAUGGCUUAUGCGGCCUAAAGAUGGCUAGAUGUGCAAAAUUUGGCUAAGACCCCGGAAAGCCAAGAACCUAAGAUUUACUAGGAAGACCGAACCCUAUGUGGGUUGCCUAUGUAUCACGCCCUGAAAGACGAGAAUCAGGUAUGCGUAUAAACUCUUUUUGUCUUUUUCUUUUUUGAAAAAUGAUGAAACAUAUAAACUCUUUUUGGAUUUUCCUUUCCCCCUUUUUUGAUUUUCGGAAAAUGAUGAAAAAGUGCAAAAUCUUUUUUUUUUGAUUUUUUUAUUUUAUUUUUCUUUUUCUUAACAAAAAUGUGAAAGAAAAUAUAACUGGGCCCUACUUGAUUUAUUUUCACACUUCACCCUCUUUUUUUUCAUUUGUCCUCAACUAUCAUUGAUCCGCCAAAUGACCCUUUUACCCUUGAAGAUUGUAACAUGUAGCACAUAGGAUGCAUCAGGAUGGUCUUUUAUUUUUGGGUACACCUGUCCUAGAUGGACUCAACCCCUGUGUUGAGUCCCCAAAGUCAAAUGCACAUGAUGCAAACAAAUGUGCCUACUAGAGAUCCAUCAUGAGGUUAUAUUAUUCUAAGUUUAACCCUGGGGUUGUGUUAUUGAUCUGGCUUACCCGAGCGGACUACUCGAGCCGAAGAUGGGGCAACAUACCGGGAGCACGAAAGUCUACCCGGCCUUGUUGCUGGCCCAGCCUCGUUCUAUUUGGCAUGACUUCUACAGAAAAAGUGGGCCAUGCGAACGUGUGCGCCAUUUUUAGAAGACUUAGAGGGGUGGCGUAAGAAGACAGUUAUAUACAAUUCAAAUAAUAUCAAAGCGGUAAAUAGACAACAAUUAGCACAAAAGGUUCAGAAAAUAAAGUAAUAUCAAUAAUAAAUAAAGCCAAGUAAAAAUCAUAUUAACAAUCUCGAAUUCUUGAACCCUGAACCAAAAGUUCUGGGUUCUUCUCCUCCCCAGUAGAGUCGCCAGAGCUGUCACAUCUCCUUUUACUACCCCCGGAAGGGGUAUAUAGGAGUUUUUCAAUUAAAGUGACAAUAAUCAAAACAUAAUUAUUUAUUUAAAUUCAGAUUCGCCACUUGGGAUAAUUUAUGGUGUCCCAAUUCACCGGUUUAAAAUCCCGAAUCGAGGAGAUUUGACUCUGUAUUAAUGUCUGUGAAAUACAGAAAUUCGGGUAAGGAAUUCUGUUAACCCGGGAGAAGGUGUUAGGCACUCCCAAGUUCCGUGGUUCUAGCACAGUCGCUUUGAUCAUACUUGGCUUAAUCAAAUUGUCUAAUUACUUAUUUUAGAACCUAUGUGCAUUUGCCUUUUUUAAUUAAGAAAUUAUCUUGAAACGGGUCACGCGUACAUGUACCCAUUUGUUUGGCACGUCAAAAUCAUGUUAUGCGAACGUGUCCACAAUUAAUAACACUUUAUUAUUAUUAAGAAUAUUUGGUCGAAGUUGCGCGAACACAUACUCCAAUUAUGUUUUUAGAAUCGUAAUCGUGUCAUGCGAACGUGUACACCAUCGCAGUGAUACAUUAAACGUUCCUAGAGCAAACUACGAAUAUUCAUUUUAGAAACCGUAAUCAUAUCACACGAACGUGUCCAUAAUCAAGAUAAUAAAUUCAAAACGCGCCUAAAGGUUCGCCUACCCAGGUGUGAUCGGUCUAAACAUACAUUCUAACAAUGCGAUUAGACAAAACCAUAAGAAAAAUAACUCAAUUUUUUUAACUUCAAAUUAAUCCCCUCGACCAGAACCUUUCAAAUUUUAUUAACCCAAGCCUAACUCACAGUGUGCUUCUAAUUGUACGCAAGAUUGUCACAACAAACCAUUUACAUUUAAAACCAACUUAAACCCAGAUUCUUUUCCUAUUAACCAACACAAUAGCUUAGGUUGAGACAUGAUUUUUAUCAAGCAAGUAUAAGAAAAUAGUGACAUAAGUAUCAACUAGAUAUGAAGGCUAACUUAAAAAAACAACAGCAUAUUAUAUCCCUACAGCGCACCAAAGGCCUAAAUCAGUUUCAACUCAAGUCGUUUCCUUCACCAUUUCAUAUACCGAAUAAGUUACGAAACUUUUAGUUAUAUAAGUCAAGGUUGCGUUGAAAUAUUAAUUCAUCCUAUUCACUAUCACGAAUCAAGGCACUUAACCAAAUAAUGAAACUAAGACAGCAAAUGCAAACAAACCGACGUAACAAAAUACCAAAAAUCCUUCACCAAACUAUGAAUAACGAAAUGAAAUAACAUAUAGGUUCGAGAAAUGUACCUCUACUGCAGCACAUUCGAGCAAAUCUCAUGGCUGUUGCUGGAUGUCGAUUUGAUGUGCUCUGUAUGUGUUCGUUGCUUAUUUUUUUGUUUUGUUUAUGCCCGUAGGAGAUGGUGAUGUUGAGGAGAUCUAGCCGGUGUUGGUUGUUGCAGGUUUUGUUUUAGAGAGGAAGGUCGUUGGAGGAGAUUGCUGGUUGGUGUCCGUUUGGUCGUUUCUGGUGUUUGAUUUGUGAAGACGAAGAGGAACAGUGGUAGGUGUUUUGUUGAAGAAGAAAGUAGAAUGGAUGGGGUCCCUUUUUUGUGUUAUCAGCGGCUGAUUUUUUAGGCGUUCUUGAUUUUGUUUCAGAAGUUGGAAAAUAUUCAGGGGGGUCGCGUUUGGUUGAAGAAGAAGCAGAACGGUGGGGGGGGGGGGGGGGGUCUAUGUCUUCUGCGGCGGAUCUUCUGAUGCCUAGGGUCUAGGUCUUUUGUUCCUUUUAGGAACGACUGAAAGGUUUUUUGCCUUGGGUCUUUUCUGAUUUUUUUUCCUCUUGUGUAUUAGGUCUUGUAUUUUUUGUAUAUGUUAGUCCCUAUCCAAAGAAAAACGG